rnacentral:lncRNA from 1 species
GCCGUGAAGAUGGCGGCAGUGGUGGAGGUGGAGGUUGGAGGAGGUGCUCUUGCGGAAAGGGAGCUAGAUGAGGUAAGAGGAAUUGAGAGACAAGAAAGGAAAGGCAGCUUGGAAGUGGAGGGAGAGGAAGUGAGGGAUGGGAGCCGGAGGUCCUGGGAGAAACAGGAAAGAUCUUGAGGAAAAGGGAGCUGACGGGGAGGCGGGUUUUCUGUGAGGGAAAUCUGAGGGCUUCUGACUCAGGGACCCCGAGGCGUUCAUGGUGAAGUAGGUUGGCAGUAGCUUUAAGGGUGGUGAUGAAGGGCAGGGCAGAGGCUAGGGAGAGACGUUAAAGAUUUUGAGGUAAUUAAGACGGAGGUCCAAGGUAGGCUCUGGGGCUAAGAGGUAGCAUUAAUUGGAGGGGCGUGGACUUUUCUGUAAGGCAAGGCCGAGGCUUUCACUGUGGGAAAGGACUACCAGCUUGAUGUGGAGGUUGGGGACACAAUGCUAAUAUACUAGUAUUACAGCUUUUAAUUAUAGGCAGGAACCAUCUUAUUCUUAUAUUUGAAGGUUUGUACAUAUCGCAUGUUCAGUAAAGUUUUGGUCAACGAAUGAAUGAAUGAAUGAAUGAUUGUGAAUGAAUGAACAGUCAUGUAGCAGAAACAGUCCAUUUUGCUCACUGAACCAACAUUUUUAGUUCUGUGACAAGACCUGGGUUAAGUGUUUGGAACUCAAGAGACCUUCCUCUUGUAAAGUCUACAGUGUCGUUAUGGGAUAAGAAGAGACAUUGCAUUAUGUGUAUUGUGGUUCCGAGAAGAGAGCCAGGGAAAGUUUUCCAGUUGUUGAAUGGUUUUCUACUUCAUAUUCUUAUUCUCGUUCAUCCUCCCCGCCCCCUCCUCUCUCACCGGUCCCUUCAAGGUGAACUUGAAAAGGUAUGAACCCUUUAUCUACUAGGCGUUUAGCAAUCUAGGUAUUGAAUUACUAGUGGUCCUUGAAGGAGACAUUGAGCUUGAAAGAAAUGAAAAGUCCUGGGCUCUGAAGGAAAGUACGAAGGUAAGCGAUAAGGAGCAAUCUGAGGCCAAGUGGUCAGUGGUAGUGUCGAGUUGCUUUGUGGUCUUCUGUGUGCCAGCGUAUGGAUAGAGAUAACACCGGAGGACUAGGAGAGUGAGUAGUGAUUGUCAGGGAGAGUCUCUUCCUAUGUCUUUGAUGUGGUUUAGAUUGGUGAAGAGCCUGAGGCAAGGAGUAGGUUUAGGAAUGACAGUUACUUGGUAUGGUAUGAGUCUAAUUUGUUUUUGCUUUUGCUUUCUGGUUGGAAUAAACUGAAAACACUAGACUAACAGGUAACAGGUGGCCUAGUUUCUCACUUGCCAGUUGUUAGAGACUAAAGGUGUUUGAAUGGUGCUUGGUUAGAAAGGUGAAGUGGUUGUAGAAAUAACUUUACAAGGCCCCUUUUAGCUUUAAGUCUCUGUGUUUACAGUUGGCAGCUAUUAACUGAGGUAUUUUGAAUAAUAAAUAAGUUGCUGAAAUUAAAAUUUAUGGUUGGUUAAUUAUGGCUCUUCACUGAGAUGGUUUCAUAUGUAACUUAAUUGAAUAUUUCUAUCCCAGUCUAGCUUUUAAAUGAAUGAGACUUUGACUACGAUUUAUUUAUUUAACUUUAGCACAAUUACUGGGUAAAUUACCCCUAUCUAAUUUUCUUUUUCUCUUUUUUUAUUUUUUAUUUUAUUUUAUUUUAUUUAUUUAUUUAUUUUUUUUGAGACAGGGUUUUUCUGUGUAGUCCUGGCUGUCCUGGAACUCACUCUGUAGACCAGGCUGGCCUCGAACUCAGAAAUCCGCCUGCCUCUGCCUUCCAAGUGUUGGGAUUAAAGACAUGUGCCACCACUGCCUGGCCCUGUCUAGUUUUCUAAUGGCUCGACUGGCUACAUCCCCAACUCUGCUCCCCAAAUACUUGCUGUUUGAGUCUUCCCGAAGGGUUAUUUCAGCUCCAGCAAUUUUGGGUUCAUGUUCUUGGUCCGUCGUGGCUAGUGGAGACCUCCUCUUUCCUGUCUUCUCUCUCUCUCCUUUCUCCUCUUCAUCCCUAGCUGUGACCUCUGCCUGGUAACUUAAACCCUGCCUCCUCCUAUUUUCCCCAGUAAUUGGCUAGCCCCAGUUUUAUUUAGCCAAUAGUUUUAAAUUAGAGAGCAAGGUUUUCACAGCAAAGACUGGUGUACAUGGGAAUUUUCUCACUUUGAGGCAGCCAGAUCUUGGGGUACAGAAUUUAGUAUUUGAAUACAUAGCAGCACCAGACCAUUCAUAUAUCUGACUUUUUGGAGACAUGCUGUCACUGAACUCUGCCCUUUUUCUCUCCUUUUCUCUCUUGUGAGUGCUGGAGUUAUAUGAGUGUGCCACUGAUGCCCGGCUACGUUUUGACUUUCUGCUUCUUAGUGUUUUAAGGAUUUAAGUAAUAUUAGUUGGAUGAUACAUAUUUCAGUGUUAGGUCUACAGGUCAACUUUACAUGAAGCCACUAACAUCCAUCCCAGAACCCUUGUUGCUUAUUUUCCAAGAAAGAAUAUAUCCUUGUUGUGAGGAAAUUCUGUGUGAACUGGUUGUGUUCUUUUCCUUAUGAGUUUAAAAAAGUAACUUGAGAAGCAGGAAGUUAUCAUGAAGCUCUAGAAAGAAGGAUCUGACAGAUCUCAGUUUGUGUGCCUUCUACCAGUGUCUCCUCUGUUUGUGCUCAAGCUUUCCCUAGUCAAUGAAUGAUAAGGUGACCUAUAUCAUUAAUAUGUAACUACGGGAGUUUACUGUAUGUCAUGCCUUGGGAAUUCAAAGGUGAGUAAAACAGGAUCUUUAUCAGUUUACAGUCCAGUGGGUAGAUAUGCAAAUAGGCCAUUACAAAGCUAGUAAGUAAGUGUUGGGAUGUUUGUGUUCUUGUGCCUGUGUGUGAGACAAGUGCAGUGAGGCACAAGAAACAACCCUAAAGUUGGUUACGGGAAGUCAUGAUAGAAAUGGAAAUAGCUGAAAGACUAAAGAUUUAACCUACCAUAAAAAGCUGUGAUUUGCAUGUAGAUCAGUGUUGCUUUCUUCCUGAACUUUCUGCCUGCCUGACACCCCUUAUUCUGGAGUCCAGGCUGGAAAAGAAUAAUGAGGAGCCUGGUUAAGAUGGGCGUGAUGCACUUUGGAAGAAGGCACAUGCUGUGAUUUAUUCUUCAGAAUAUUAUGUCUAUAUUUUCCAAAAUCAGAUGUCAUUAGUACAUGCGUAGUCUGGAAUAGCAGUUCCAUCUUUUGGUCUGGCUAAUAACUUCUUCUGCCUUGGAGAGCAGGAUAGAAAGAUGGGCUUAGGGUAGAACUACCUGUGGAAACAGCACUGUUGAUGGAAUCUUUAAGACAGCUACCAUUUAAGGUCUUUACCUUGGUUAUCUCAUUUAUUACUUACAGAAGCCAUGUGCUACUUUGUUAGAUGCUACUUUGUCUUUUCUUUAAAAAGGAUCGAUUUUAAUUCAUGUGUAUGUGUGCAUGCAUACAAAUGUAUGGGUAUCUGUGGGGUCCAGAAGAAGGUGUCAGAUCCCUUGGAGCUGGAGUUACACGUGGUUGUAAAGUACCCAAUAUGUGUGCUGGUCCUCUGCAAGAGCAAUGUGUGCUCUUAGCCACUGAGCUAUCUUUCUAACCCCAGCUCUGUUUUUACAUUUUCUUUUGAGAUAAGGUCUUGAUAAGUUUCCUAGGUUGGUGUUAUACUCAGAAUCCUCUUGUCUCAGUUUCCCGAGCAGCUGGGAUUACAAGCAUGCACAUCAUGCCUGGCAAACUACCCCUUUUAAAU